rnacentral:rRNA from 1 species
UCCGUCGGCGGUUGUGUAAGUUACUUGUUUAAGCCUGAGGCUCAACUUCAGAACAGCAAGUAAAACUGCACAACUUGAGUAUGCUAGAGGAAGCUGGAAUUCUUGGUGGAGGGGUGAAAUCCGUAGAUAUCAAGAGGAACGCCGCGCGCGAAGGCAAGCUUCUGGAGCAAUACUGACGCUCAGGGACGAAAGCUAGGGUAGCAAAAG